rnacentral:lncRNA from 1 species
GCAGACAUUACCUAUGCAUUAUGCACUGGGCACCUGGCGGAAUGUUGAGAUUCAGGGCGGAAGAGGAACACACUUAAGGAACUCAGACAGACAGGAGGCAAAUAUAGCAGCAAGUGACCCACCUUAAGAAUUGAGAAGAUCUGGCAGUCAAAACAUCUAUGGAAGGUGAAAAGAACAGUCUGAAUCAUUUCCCCUGUGAAUCUAGUGAGGACCAUUACAAAGCAACCUUAUUGGGGCGCCUGAGUGGCUCAGUGGGUUAAAGCCUCUGCCUUCGGCUCAGGUCAUGAUCCCAGAGUCCUGGGAUUGAGCCCUGCAUUGGGCUCUUUGCUCAGUGGGGAGCCUGCUUCCUCCUCUCUCUCUCUGCCUGCCUCUCUGCCUACUUCUGGUCUGUCAAAU